rfam:Planktothrix tepida PCC 9214 isolate BBR_PRJEB10993 genome assembly, scaffold: BBR_B_PL9214_scaffold40
CGAAGAAGUCAGCCGAGUCUUGCUGUUGACUACCGAUAGUCAGCAAGAGCGGGGGAACCAAAUUUUUGGGGCUAAUCUCUUUUGAUAAAUAAUAAAGAGAAGGGUAUCUCUCAACCCCAGCCCGUCAGCUAACUCCGUAGGCAUUGGGAGGAGACUGA